GGCGAUACCGCGGACGGUUCAUUAAAUCAGUCGUGGUCCAAAUGGGUCCGUCCUCACGGUAUACUUGGAUAACCGUGGUAAUUCCAGAGCUAAUACAUGCAACUCAUAUCCCGAGGUGCUUGCAAAAGCACCGACGGAAGCACUUAUUAGACCAAUGCCCAACGGCGUGGUGCGCCUUGUGCGCGCGCACUGCUGCCGCCCGCAUAAAUGGUGACUCUGGAUAAUUACUUGGACGAGCGCACGUAUCUGUUCAAGCAGAACGGCGCCGCCUCUUUCGAGUGUCUGCCUUAUCAGCCAUCAAUCGCUCGUUAUGUGCGAACGAUGGCCUUGACGGGUAACGGGGAAUCAGGGUUCGAUUCCGGAGAGGCAGCCUGAGAAACGGCUACCACGUCUAAGGACGGCAGCAGGCACGCAAAUUACCCAAUCCCAGAACUCUGGGGAGGUAGUGACGAAAAAUAACGAUGCGGGCGCUCCUUCUGGAGCCCCGCAAUCGGAAUGAGUAUGUCUUAAAUAACCUGUCGAGAACCCACUGAAGGGCAAGUCUGGUGCCAGCAGCCGCGGUAAUUCCAGCUUCAGUAGCAUCUAUUAAAGUUGCUGCGGUUAAAAGGCUCGCAGUUGGAGCCACUGGUGUUUGGUAUAUGGAGCAGCUGGACGUUGGGUACCUCGUGUCCCCGUCCUGUUGUCUGCUCCUGACUCUAUGGCACUGAAUAUGGGAAAGCCUCGCGCGGCUUGGGCGAUUUGCUCAGAGGUGUUGGUGUUGGGCGAUUUUAAGCUUUUUGCUUUGCGGCAAUCUGCUUUGCGUUUCAAGCCCCCUCUGUGUCCUUGCUCGCGCGGGGUGGCUCCUGUGUCACCUUGAGUAAAUCAUGGUGCUCACAGCAGUCGUGCGGGCCUCGUGCCCUGUGAACAGUCUUUGCGGACUGAAUUGGUUUUGCAAGGCAUGACGAAACAUGACGUCGCUGCUGGUCGCGGGCGGAGGGCUUUGCGGCCCCACCGGUUUGCCAGCAGUGACGUAAUGAUCAAUGGAGACGGUAGCUGGCAUUGGUAUUGCGCGGCGAGAGGUGAAAUUCUGCGACCCCCGCAAGACCUCCUAAAGCGAAGGCGUCUGCCAAGGA
rnacentral:rRNA from 1 species